UUAUACCACUGUGACCACCGUCCUUUUCUCUACAUGUUGACCGGAGCAAAACACCAAAUUGCAACUCGCACCGGAGGAGCCGCCGCACCCGAGAGCUUCGCCGCUGGUAAGUCUUGGUUUUCUGGAAUUUUUUGGCCUACCAAGGGCCCUAGGGGUGUUUUAUCACAGGAACCAAAGCAAUUUUGGUCGAAUUCGACCGAAAAUGGCCAGAAACAGCCAACCCGAGGUGGAU
rnacentral:lncRNA from 1 species